rnacentral:lncRNA from 1 species
CUCGACUUCACACACUGUGAGCACAACCCAGCCCUCUGAUUGGCUGUUGCCCGGGGUAACCACGGACGCUGUGGGCACGCGGGGGCCCCCGGCCGGUAUUUGAAGCAGCUCGGGCCCGCGCUCCCCUCAGUCCGGCCUGGACCGGCUACCACACUGGCACCUGAGCUGAGAGAGGGUGCAGCAAGUGCCAUGGAUCUUCCUCAGAAGAACAUGAAGGAAGUUGCUUCUGUGUAUAUGGUUCUCUGCCAUGGCCUCAGCAAUCCAUAAUCCAUGAAUGGAGAGGAUUCCCCAUGGUCAGAUAUCAAGUACUGCAACUUGCACAUCUGGUUAUAUUCCCAGCUCUGGAUGGAGGGAAGACCUGGAGUGGUGAGGAAUGGUGAGAGGCAACAGGAAGAGCAUUUUUCUUCUCACUCUGCCCUGGAGAGACUCAGAGUCACUACCCUCUGGGUGGCAUUAGGGGAAGUCAGUGCUGUGCUGGCAGAGCACAGUCAGAGUUGAAGCCAAAAAAAGGAAAGAAAAAAUAAGAAAGACAACACCUACAUUCUGAUUGCUGAAGCUGCAAAGCUAAAAAUCACUUUGCAAUGGAGGUUCAUUCCAAUAGUUUGAUUUUAUUCCCGUCCUGUUGACUGAGGUGAAAUGUCAGCCCUGCAGCUACCUUUCAUCAACAUGCUUAGAAAAAAUCCCCGGGCCAGGUAAGUGGCACAGUGGAUAGAGCAGGGGCCCUGAAGUCAGGAGGACUUGAGUUCAAAUGUGGCCUUAGGCCAAACACUUGACCCUUACUAGCUGUGUGACCCUGGGCAAGUCACUCAACCCCAAUUGCCUAAAAAAAACCAAACUCCCCAAACUAUUGAAAUACUUUGAGGAAGCCUCAACACCAGUCACUUCAUGUCUCUCACCUAUUUGCCAGCUCACAUCAUGUAAAGGAGAAAUUAGGUGACUUGGAACAAAGCCCCAAUGCAAUUACCUCGUCAUGGAUUGGAAUGUUCAUUUGCAGAAAUGGCCUCAGU